rnacentral:rRNA from 1 species
UACAAAGGGGGCUAGCGUUGCUCGGAAUCACUGGGCGUAAAGCGCACGUAGGCGGACUCUUAAGUCGGGGGUGAAAUCCUGGAGCUCAACUCCAGAACUGCCUUCGAUACUGGGAGUCUUGAGUUCGGGAGAGGUGAGUGGAACUGCGAGUGUAGAGGUGAAAUUCGUAGAUAUUCGCAAGAACACCAGUGGCGAAGGCGGCUCACUGGCCCGAUACUGACGCUGAGGUGCGAAAGCGUGGGGAGCAAACAGG